rnacentral:rRNA from 1 species
AACGUAGGAGACGAGCGUUAUCCGGAUUUACUGGGCGUAAAGCGCGUGUAGGAGGCAGUACAAGUUGGAUGUAAAAGCUCCUGGCUUAACUGGGAGAGGUCGUUCAAGACUGUACAGCUAGAGUAAGGCAGAGGUAGAUGGAACUCCGGGAGUAGUGGUGAAAUGCGUAGAUAUCCGGAAGAACACCAGAGGCGAAAGCGAUCUACUGGACCUUUACUGACACUGAGACGCGAAAGCCAGGGUAGCAAACGGGAUUAGAGACCCCGGUAGUCCUGGCCGUAAACGAUGUAGACUGAGCGUUGGGGGGGUAAAACCUUUCAGUGCUGAAGCAAACGCGAUAAGUCUACCGCCUGGGGAGUACGGUCGCAAGAUUAAA